UACGGAGGGAGCUAGCGUUGUUCGGAAUUACUGGGCGUAAAGCGCACGUAGGCGGCUUUGUAAGUUAGAGGUGAAAGCCCGGGGCUCAACCCCGGAAUUGCCUUUAAGACUGCAUCGCUUGAAUCCGGGAGAGGUGAGUGGAAUUCCGAGUGUAGAGGUGAAAUUCGUAGAUAUCGGGAGGAACACCAGUGGCGAAGGCGGCCUUCUGGACGGACACUGACGCUGAGACGCGAAAGCGUGGGUAGCAAACAGG
rnacentral:rRNA from 1 species